GACGAACGCUGGCGGCGUGCUUAACACAUGCAGGUCGAACGGAAAGGCCCUGCUUUUGUGGGGUGCUCGAGUGGCGAACGGGUGAGUAACACGUGAGUAACCUGCCCUUGACUUUGGGAUAACUUCAGGAAACUGGGGCUAAUACCGGAUAGGAGCUCCUGCUGCAUGGUGGGGGUUGGAAAGUUUCGGCGGUUGGGGAUGGACUCGCGGCUUAUCAGCUUGUUGGUGGGGUAGUGGCUUACCAAGGCUUUGACGGGUAGCCGGCCUGAGAGGGUGACCGGCCACAUUGGGACUGAGAUACGGCCCAGACUCCUACGGGAGGCAGCAGUGGGGAAUAUUGCACAAUGGGCGGAAGCCUGAUGCAGCAACGCCGCAUGCGGGAUGACGGCCUUCGGGUUGUAAACCGCUUUCGCCUGUGACGAAGCGUGAGUGACGGUAAUGGGUAAAGAAGCACCGGCUAACUACGUG
rnacentral:rRNA from 1 species